AAUGCCGGAUUAAUUUCUUGUUGGACAGUGCUGGAACAGAGGAUAAACCUCUGAAGAUUCCCAAAGAGGUCUGGUUACUUGUUAAUCACCUCUACACCAAGGCCUGCCAGCAGGAGGACCUUUUCCAGACCCCUGGCCUGCAGGAUGAUCUACAAAGUAUUAUUGACUGCUUGGACACCAGCAUUCCUGAAUCCAUCCCUGGCUCUAAUCACUCAGUUGCCGAAGCACUAUUGAUCUACUUGGAGGCUCUUCCUGAGCCUGUGCUGUGUUAUGAACUCUAUCAGCGCUGUCUUGAAUGCUCUCAUGACAGCCGCCUGUGCAAGCAGGUAAACAUGGAUGCAUGGCAGUAACUAUACUGGGACUGUCAAGACUAUGUAUUUAAUAUGCUAUUUGUGCUAUCUAUGUAUGUUCUUGUUUCAGUUCCUAUUCACAAGCUCUCCAUAUGAUUCUGCAUUCAAUGUGAUUUGAUUCUGAUUCACUUUGGGUGUAUUUUAUUGUCCAUUUUGCUUAUAUGAAAGAAACUGUCUCUCAGCUAUUGAUGUAACUUAUACAGAAUUAACAAUGGAGUCUAAACUAUGCAGUUCAGUUGCUGUUUAUUU